UUUUUCUGGAGAUUGCUCCUCUUGGAGUUUUUUUCUGUGAGCCUAGGACACAGGUGGUAGGGAUCAAGCACAUACAUACAUCCAUGAGCACUCUGUAUUCAAAAAAACAGAGCCAAAAAACAUUCAUCAUGUUGAUAUCAUUGCUGCUAGCACCCACCAGAGGAAGAGCAAGUGACCCUGCAAGAAGAAAAAUUACAUUCUCCUGACAAAGCCUGAAUUUAAGCCUGCUUUACACAGAAUGUGAAGCCAGAUUUUCAGAAGAGGCCAACCCAAGAACAAACUACAUUACCAGAAUGAAAAAACACCACUAUACACAGAUCUGGAAAGAGUGAAAAGUGCCUCAAACCCCUAAGGAAAAGGGAAGGACAAGGUUGACAAAACUCCUAACUGGAAAGGAGCUUUAUCCCAGGAAAGAGGAACUAUACAACACCAUCCCCAGUGGGCUGAGUUGACUUCAUAGUAUCUGGGUGAACAGAAGUUAUUCAGUGCAAACUCUCUCCUUUCUGCCCUAAAGCAGCUGACAUACUAAUGCAGAAAAGUUUUCAACAGCAGAUGUAUUUUAUAAAAAUGAAGACCAAAGAAAUUCUGUCUUUUCUAUUUCGAAGGGAUAGGACAAGUGCAAUUUAUUUUUGUGAAUUGGUAUAGAAUCAUUCUUAGAAUUUUUACUGGUAUAAGGACUUCUUAAUAUUUUUCCUUUGAAUACAUAUUUCCUAUGUUGUUGGUGGAAAAUAGUAGUGUUGUAACCCUACUUAAUAUCCCUGAUGACUUUGCUCAACAUGAUUUAUAUUGUGUAGUUUCUAUACUAAGCUGUUCUUAUUUCAGAGACGAUCAGGAAACCUAAAGAAUUAUACAGUUUUGAGCCCUUAGGGGAUUUAAGCAUUGUGUUCUCUUUCUUAAAACAUGUUUUGCUGCACUGGAGUUGGGCAAGAACAGUCUUUCCAUGAGCCAGAGCCAAAUAGCUCGUGCUACUGGAUUUGAUGAUUCCAGAUGAUACACAGUAUUGGGUAUUUUUACACAAUUUUUACACAGCUUUUUAACUGUAUUUUUGCAGUGAAGCACACUCAUUUUAAUAACUUAUCUUGACAUUUUAAGAUACAGGAUGCAGAAGGACACAAUCAUCUAAAAUUCCUGUUUCUUCUACAAAGAAAUAGCAUUUCAUUUGCUUUUUGUUGUUGUUGUUGUUGUUGAUCCAACUGCACAAUUCCAGUACAGUAAGUUUUUCUGUCUUUGUGAGAUCACUAUACCAAACUAGAUCAUAAGCAUCACUAAAUUCAAAUAGAUUGCAUCAUCUUUUCCCCUGUGUUUUCUAGGAAAUCUGUCUUUUUAAGAGUAAAGAAAAAUGUUGUGAUUAAAACCUGUUUUUGACUAACAAAUGUUAGAUGUUCAUUGUUACUUAAUUACAUUUGAGUUGCUUACAAACUGAUUACUUAAUGAUGUAUCACCAUUAGGUGAAUAUUUUUCCAGACAUCAGUGCUACAUGUACUAUUAAGUCUCCACCUCCUUUAAUCUUCUCUCUUUCCCUUCUUAUCCCUGCUAAUGGGUACUAGUUACUUUUUUUUUUUUCCUCCAGUCCUGUGAGUCCUUACGAGUCUUCCAAGAAAACUCCCUAAACUAGUCACUUUAAGUGAUUCUGAACAGGGUCAGACAACAUUAAAGAUCUAAUUCAUCAUGUUGGUAGCUUGGUCUUCCCCUAGUAUGGCCUCCAUUCUUUCUCCCUUAUUCUUAAUUAUAAACGUUAAGUGUUUGAUCUCAAUUAACAUUUUUAUAUAGAAUAAAGCAAUGAAAUGAAAGCAAGAAAAUUUAAGCUUUUUUUGUCACCUGCAAUAGUUCACUUUCCUCCAUUAAAUAACAAGUCAUUCUUUCUUCCAUUUCAUUAUCAGAUUGAAUGCAUUUCAGAGCACUUCCUGAUUGCCUUUUAUGUUUUCGUCCAACUGUAUAUCGUUUUGUGCCAUCGUCUGCUCUGCUUAUCUCUCCAUCAUGUGCUAUUCUUCUAAAUGGCUUUUUAGCACUAUGUCCCUGUUUCCAUUGUGUACAACUACCUCUCCCCCUCUCCCACUUCCUGAUCACUGAAGAGCUCCUGAUGGAGGUGGUGUCUCACUACAUCCAUCACCUAUUCUCUAUAAUGGAGAUGGUUGUCAUCAGACUUUGCAGUCUCAUUAUAAUCAGAUAUUCUCCUGCACUAUGACAAAAAUAAAAUAAAAAAAAUCUAUUAUUAAAAGAAACGUGAGAUGAGAUUGUAGGAAGUAUAGGCUAGUAAUUCCCUAAGUAGUAUCAAGAAAUAAAAUAGUCAGAAAUGGUUGCACUAAAAAAAAUCUAGAAAAAUAUGUUUGAGAUACAUAUUACUAUAGCUUUUGUAAGAUAAAAUACAUCAGUUAUUAUUAAUAAACGUUGUUAUUAGUUUGUG
ensembl:lncRNA